CACCGCGGUUAGACGAGAGGCCCCAGUUGAUAUUAUAACGGCGUAAAGGGUGGUUAAGGAUGAAAGAAAAAUAAAGCCAAAUGGCCCCUAGGCCGUCAUACGCUUCUGGGUGUCCGAAGCCCUAACACGAAAGUAGCUUUAAUAAACUAACCUGACCCCACGAAAACUGAGAAA
rnacentral:rRNA from 1 species